AUACCUUUCUCGGCCUUUUGGCUAAGAUCAAGUGUAGUAUCUGUUCUUAUCAGUUUAAUAUCUGAUACGUGGGCCACCGGCUCACAUGAUAUUAAAUUAAUUUUUCUAGGGGGAGGUCUCACCACAGUAGCUUGCUACUGGAGUCCUCAAGCGUCGCCCAUGCGUUGCACUACUGCACGGGCCUGGCACGCCCCUA
rfam:Vitis vinifera, whole genome shotgun sequence of line PN40024, unoriented chromosome 18, chr18